AACGCACAUUGCGCCCGCUAGUAUUCUAGCGGGCAUGCCUGUUCGAGCGUCAUUUCAACCCUCAAGCUCUGCUUGGCGUUGGGGCACUACAGCUGCUGUAGGCCCUGAAAAUUAGUGGCGGGCUCGCUAUAACUCCGAGCGUAGUAGUACAUCUCGCUUAGGGUGUUGUGGUGGGUUCUUGCCGUUAAAACCCCCCCUUUUUUAAAGGUUGACCUCGAAUCAGGUAGGAAUACCCGCUGAACUUAA
rnacentral:misc_RNA from 1 species